rnacentral:lncRNA from 1 species
AUGAGGUGUUAUUUAUCUUCCAAACUUUUUUUUUCUUCUUUUUUUUUUUUUUUUUUUUUUCCUGCUAUGUGUGUCAUCUGCACCAUCUGGGGUGACCUUUCUACAAUGACUGGGAGCACAGCACUAAAAAAUCUAAAUUUCCUUAUUGAAAAGUAUUACUUCCCAGAUACACCAGAAGUUUAUAAAUCACCCAAGGCAUACAAGAAGCUUAGCCAAGAAAUGAAGAAAACAGAUCUCUUUCACAUGCAAUUUGAAUUUGUUUUCAUCAUAGAAACUAAGCAGAAUUCUAGUUGGAGCUUAAAAAUAUCAUCAAUAAAUAAAAAUAUUAUUAUACUUACACCACGAUCCAUUCCUUUGUCAGUAUCCAGAUAUCCUUCAAAAGCAACAAAAGAAAGUGUUCUUCUGUCACAAGAUUGCAUGAAUGACAUAAUGCAGAAAGAGACCCCUAAAGACAUGUUAAAAACCUAAGAAAAUCCCUCUCUCUAAAGAGAAAAAUAUGUCAAAAGCUGAAAUGCUUUGCUCAGACUCUGCAAUAUUCAUACAGGGCAGAAACAUGACUGAUUAGUAUCCAGAGACUACUGCCAAACUUAUAGAGAUUUGUGAUCUUAAACAUCAAGGUUAAAAUUGGAAGUUUCACUGUAAGAGGUAGCAUAUCAUUCCCCUGCAUUAUCAACUAUGAAAGAGGGACCCAAGAUCAAAAAAAGUGGGGAUUCACCAGGGAGUUAGUUACUAUGCUCAGAUAGCAUUUUUAUGCCAACCCUUUCCUCAUCAGCAUCUUAAUUAGCUCUCUUCUCAAAAGACAGUGUAUCAACAGAGAUUUGCUAAGUGAAGCAAAUUCUUGCUUCUGCUUCUGACAUGACUGGUUAUGAUAGUGGAGGGAGGGAGGGAGUCAGUGAGUGAGAGGUUUUGUGUGUACUCAAAUUUCCUUAUAUGAGAAAUUCUAAACCUUCCAUGUAUAAAAAAAAAAAAAAAAAAAGAAAAGAAAAGUACAGAGAGAAGGAAAAAAAAAAUAAAAAAUUGGUAAUCUAGAAGUGUCUGCCUCUU